rnacentral:rRNA from 1 species
UACGUAGGGCGCAAGCGUUAUCCGGAAUUAUUGGGCGUAAAGAGCUCGUAGGCGGUUUGUCGCGUCUGCCGUGAAAGUCCGGGGCUCAACCCCGGGCCUGCAGUGGGUACGGGCAGACUAGAGUGCGGUAGGGGAGACUGGAAUUCCUGGUGUAGCGGUGAAAUGCGCAGAUAUCAGGAGGAACACCGGUGGCGAAGGCGGGUCUCUGGGCCGUAACUGACGCUGAGGAGCGAAAGCGUGGGGAGCGAACAGG